UCUAUCUCACUCUCUCCUCUCCUCUCCUCUUCUCCCCUCCACUCCUCUCCCCGCGCCUCCCCUAACACCCUCUCUCCCACAUUUUCACGAGGAGAUUCCGGCCUGUUUUUCAAUCAUAUUCCGACCAACACUCAACACUCUAAGUUCAAAGAUGACCAUGAUGAUUAUUGCAAUAAGGCUUCUCCGGUUCUUUCAUCCGUUGAGAUACACAAAGAAACACAGUUUGGUUACAAGAAUAGGAAAACAUGAACUAAAAGGUGCAUCAUAGUUGGAGAACCGGGGAAUGAAGCCAUUGGUCCGUGUAGCUCACAAUUCUCUCUACUAGUAGUACUCUCAAUCAUACUUCAGCUAUUUGAAAAUUCUUUUUGUACUGCAAGUGGAAUAUUGUGGCCACUAUGUUAGCUUAAUGUACCAUUUUUCUGGCACACUGUACAAUUCACUGAUUUGAAAUGGCAUAUAUUAUAUUUUUUUGUUCCAAACAACACUUGCUCCAUCCCAUACUCAUGUUGUACUUAUUUAUUUGUGCACACUUACUGUUCAAUCAUUUUUCUCUAUUUAUGAAUUUUCUACAUACUAUUAAAUACAAAAUCUACACAGUAGGCGUGUUUAAUGUGAGGAACAAAAUAAUUUUGAAUAGAAAUGUAUUCAACCAUCUUAAUUAUUAAUAGAAAAAUCACCAAAAAUAUGUAUGCUGAACUUUAUCAUGACGAAAACUUGAAUAAUUGGAAUUUUGUGAAUGAUAAGAAAUAUUAUUUAGUCUAGCCUCUCUAGCUAUUGUUUACCAUAUAGUUGCAACAUACAAAUGGUAUGCUGCAUGUAUCCUUAACCAUCAAUUGUGAAGGAUAGUUCAUCUUCACAGUCAAUUGUCAACUACAAAUGGUUGGUUGGAGGUUUCAUGCAGCGGGAAUGUUGGAUGCUGAAUGAUUCAUGGCAUUCUUCCAGUCCACUGAAGUUGGAUUCAGCCGCCACAACAUACAUUGCUCACACUUCAAGAAAUGAACAACCUGAAUUCAAAUCAUUUGCAGAAUAGGCACUUCUGAUGGAGAGAUAUUAACUGAGUACUAGUAUCAGUGUAGGAUUGCAUAACCUGACUGUGGAACCUGGCCAUGUGCGGGGUUCGAGGAAUCUGGAACUGGCCUGUGUCAGGUUUCCAGCUAGGAAAAAAACUGUUUAAAAAGUAAAAAAUACAAAAGAAAUACCAAAAACUAUGAAAAACAUGUUCAUCAGCAGCUUUCCUCCAGAAUUCGCUAGCGUUGCUCCACACUAGCUCACCUUGUAACUCUCGAGCUGCUGUUGGUCCCCACCUCCUGAGGGACAGACCUAGUUGAACUUUGAUGGUUGCACUGUUGGCAACCCUGGCCCGGCAGGCAUCUGUGGCAUCUUUAGGGACCACAAUGAAAAAGUCCUAGCCUCCUCCAAGCACAUCCGCACUCCCACUCAGUUGUGUCCUUAGCCUUCUUGGAAGGCCUGAAACUCUUCAAUACCCUUUGGAUCCAGCCUCCUUAGCUUUUCUGGAAGGCCUCAGACUCUUCAAUCCCCUUUGGAACUAGCCUCCUUAGCUUUCCUGGAAGGCCUCAAACUCUUCAAUCCCCUUUGGAACCAGCCUUUGAUCAUGGAGGGAAAUGGGACCUGGUUGGAAUCCAAUGCCGAGGCGGACAACCUUGCUAAAGAUGGAGGCUACUACAAAUCUACUUGAUUUUUUGGGAUCAUCGUCUUGGGCCAUGAGAAGACUUUUGUAUCCUUCUGUUUAUAUCUUGUCAAUUUGUGCAAACUUUGCUGGUUUUUUUUUAUAGGGCAACUUUUUCGGGUUUGUCUCAUUUUUUUGUAUAGGGUUCCCACUCGGUGGGUUGCUGGUAUGUUGCUCUGUUGCUCCCGGCUUGUGGGUAGGAGCCCAUUUUGUGUCAUCUUGUAUCUCCCUUAUCUUUGCUAAUAGAACAGUUAACCGUUAAAAAAAAAAACUGAAAGUAAA